AACGAACGCUGGCGGCAGGCCUAACACAUGCAAGUCGAGCGGACCCUUCGGGGUUAGCGGCGGACGGGUGAGUAACGCGUGGGAAUAUGCCCUUCUCUACGGAAUAGUCCUGGGAAACUGGGGGUAAUACCGUAUACGCCCUUUGGGGGAAAGAUUUAUCGGGGAAGGAUUAGCCCGCGUUGGAUUAGGUAGUUGGUGGGGUAAUGGCCUACCAAGCCGACGAUCCAUAGCUGGUUGGUGAGGAUGAUCCGCCACACUGGAACUGAGACACGGCCCAGACUCCUACGCGAGGCAGCAGUGGGGAAUCUUAGACAAUGGGGGCAACCCUGAUCUCGCCAUGCCGGGUGAGUGAUGAAGGCCUUAGGGUUGUAAAGCUCUUUCAGAUGAGAAGAUAAUGACGGUACCAGCAGAAGAAGCCCCGGCUAACUCCGUG
rnacentral:rRNA from 1 species